UGGAGAAAAGCAGGGGAUCGUAAGACCUUGCGCUUUUGGAGUGGCCGAUGCCUGAUUAGCUAGUUGGUGGGGUAAAGGCCUACCAAGGCGACGAUCAGUAGUUGGUCUGAGAGGACGACCAGCCACACUGGGACUGAGACACGGCCCAGACUCCUACGGGAGGCAGCAGUGGGGAAUUUUGGACAAUGGGCGAAAGCCUGAUCCAGCAAUGCCGCGUGAGUGAAGAAGGCCUUCGGGUUGUAAAGCUCUUUCAGUCGAGAAGAAAAGAUUGUGAUGAAUAAUCACAGUUCAUGACGGUAUCGACAGAAGAAGCACCGGCUAACUACGUGCCAGCAGCCGCGGUAAUACGUAGGGUACAAGCGUUAAUCGGAAUUACUGGGCGUAAAGGGUGCGCAGGCGGUUUUGUAAGUCAGAUGUGA
rnacentral:rRNA from 1 species